rnacentral:tRNA from 1 species
UCGCCAUAGCUUAAUAAAAGCGACUAAUUGUUACUUAGUUGAUGUAUCCGCUACUGGUUAU